GGGCUUUUGAAACCCCAAAGCCCACCCCUAGUGAUGUUUUCUCCAAAUAUUGCCAUACUGCUUCAACAGGGCCACACCUCCUAAUCCUUCCCAAACAAUACCUGAUGACUAUCCAUCCGAAUACAUAAGCCUAAGGACCAUUCUUAUUCAAACCACCACAAUAAUUGACCAUAAUCUUCCAUGAGUCAUUUCAUCUCCUCACCCUGGGGACUUGUGGUAGGACCACCUCGCAUCCACAUGUAUCCAGUGAGCUGAGCAAGGUGGACUUACACUGCUUGGGACAGCCAGAGCCAGGACAAACAAGGUCAUGCUCUCCUCAUCACUGGUGCUGGCUCCCCAGGUCUGUCAGGUUCUCAAUUUAUACCAUAACCGUUACUUCUCCAUCAACCACACCUGGCUCCUGAACAGACUGAACAAACCUUCAUCCUGGUAUACCUUCUUGCAAGGGAGAAACAAACACGGUGUUACUAGGGGAGUAAGUAUACAUCCCUAGGACAAACCUAAUAUGGUUACACGUAGUGUUCUGCUGCUAGAUUCUUCCUUUGAAAUUGUAUUUUAUUUUUAUUUUAUUUUACUUUACUUUAUUUUAUUUUAGGGUUUUUUGAGACAGGGUUUCUUUGUGUAUCCCUGGCUGUCCUGGAACUCACUUUGUAGACCAGGUUGGCCUCGAACUCAGAAAUCUACCUGCCUCUACCUCCCGAGUGCUGGGAUCCAUGGUGCACCACCACACCCAGCUUGAAAUGUUAUUUUAAUUAAUUUAAUCAAUCAAUUCAAUCAAUUAUUUAUGGAUGUUUUGUCUGCAUGUAUGUCUUUACCACAUGCAUUACUCAUACCCAAAGAUGCCAGAAGAUGGCAUGGAUGCCCUGGAACUGUUGCUAAAGAGGUUGUGAGCUACCAUGUAAGUGCUGGGAUUGAAUACAGGUCCUCUGGAAGAGCAGCCAGUGCUCUUACCUGAUAAAGCAUCUCUCCAGAUACCAUUUGAUACCCCCUACAUGCAUCUUUGGUGAAGUUUUGUUCAAUGUUUAAUGUCCCCCACCCACCCCCACACCCAGAGGCUCACCUAGGUAGCAUUUAGCUUUCUGUCAUCCCCAUCCCUUCCCAGGGCUUAACACAAAUCUUGUCACAUUUUCUUUCAAGUAUCUCAGGCAGCUUCAUUGUCUGCCUUCCCUUUUUGUUCCUAUUCUCCUGGCGACUGCCUUAUAAACUCAACUUACACUCAUCUGAACUGUUCAGAUCUGUCAACGCCUCUUCUAAAUCGUAGAGAUGGAAUUCGACUGUGGAGUUCAGCAACGUGGCUAAAGAUCUCUGCUGAUUUAAUUUCUUUCUGAACACUUCACUUCUCUCUGGCUCACUUGGAUACAGCAUCAUCUCUGAUUGUCAUAGCUUCCCAUCCUCGGCCACUAUGAAGGUCCUCAUUUGAGUACUGAACAGAGAGCAUUCUUCUCCACUGCGCUGAAGUUUGGGCCUACAAGGAUAUCUGGGUCCAAGCCUGUGAGGAAGCAAUCACAGCUCUUCUCAUUCUAAGACAGCAGUGGUGGUGCUAUGCCCAGAGGACAGCAUUACAUAAUACAACCCUAUAUCACACAGAGGAAGAUGUCCAUCCUAGAUCUGCCCCGCCCCCAAGCCCCCGAGGCUGGGAUGUUCCACACUAGGAUUGCUCAGCUUUGGUUGCAAGGCUUAUCAUCCACAGCAGGGGACACACAACCGCCACUACUUCGAAGACGCUGAGUCUGGGGAAGACAGGUUAAGUGUGAUUCCCACACAAGCCUGUCCCAUUGUCCUCCCAUCCCUGAUAUCCCUGCCUGAUAUCAGCCAUGGGAUAAAGACAACACAGAUGAACCAAGGACACUAUGUUAAGUGAAACAAGCUUGCUAUAAGAUGCAUCUUAUUUCAUUCUACUUGUAUGAGAUAUAUAAUCAAACUAAUGAGCUUGCAGGAGCUGGAAGGGGUG
rnacentral:lncRNA from 1 species